rnacentral:rRNA from 1 species
GACGAACGCUGGCGGCGUGCCUAACACAUGCAAGUCGAGCGGAGAUAAUUAAAAGCUUGCUUUUGAUUAUCUUAGCGGCGGACGGGUGAGUAACGCGUGGGCAACCUGCCUGUUACAGGGGGAGAACACAGGGAAACUUGUGCUAAUACCGCAUAACACAACGAGGUAGCAUUACCUUGUUGUCAAAGGAGCAAUCUGGUAAUAGAUGGGCCCGCGUCCAAUUAGCUAGUUGGAGGUGUAACGGACCACCAAGGCGACGAUUGGUAGCCGAACUGAGAGGUUGAUCGGCCACAUUGGGACUGAGACACGGCCCAGACUCCUACGGGAGGCAGCAGUGGGGAAUAUUGCACAAUGGGGGAAACCCUGAUGCAGCAACGCCGCGUGAAGGAUGAAGGUUUUCGGAUUGUAAACUUCUUUAGUCAGGGACGAAAAAAAUGACGGUACCUGAAGAAUAAGCCACGGCUAACUACGUGCCAGCAGCCGCAGUAA